rnacentral:rRNA from 1 species
GACGAACGCUGGCGGCGUGCCUAAUACAUGCAAGUCGAGCGGACGAAUCGAAAGCUUGCUUUUGAUUCGUUAGCGGCGGACGGGUGAGUAACACGUGGGCAACCUGCCCUGUAGACGGGGAUAACACCGAGAAAUCGGUGCUAAUACCGGAUAACACGAAAUGUCGCAUGACGUUUCGUUGAAAGACGGCGCAAGCUGCCGCUACAGGAUGGGCCCGCGGCGCAUUAGCUAGUUGGUGAGGUAACGGCUCACCAAGGCGACGAUACGUAGCCGACCUGAGAGGGUGAUCGGCCACACUGGGACUGAGACACGGCCCAGACUCCUACGGGAGGCAGCAGUAGGGAAUCUUCCGCAAUGGACGAAAGUCUGACGGAGCAACGCCGCGUGAGCGAAGAAGGCCUUCGGGUCGUAAAGCUCUGUUGUUAGGGAAGAACAAGUAACGCAGUAACUGGCGUUACCGUGACAGUACCUAACGAGAAAGCCACGGCUAACUACGUG